UACGAGGGGGGCAAGCGUUGUUCGGAAUUAUUGGGCGUAAAGGGUGCGUAGGCGGUUUGGUAAGUCUUAUGUGAAAUCUACAGGCUCAACUUGUAGUCUGCAUGAGAAACUGCCGGGCUUGAGUAUGGGAGAGGUGAGUGGAAUUCCUGGUGUAGCGGUGAAAUGCGUAGAGAUCCGGAGGAACACCAAUGGCGAAGGCAGGGUCCUGGCUGGCACCUGACGCUCAUGUGCGAAAGCCAGGGGAGCGAACGGG
rnacentral:rRNA from 1 species